CCGAUCACUGAAGUUAAGCGACGUCGAGCCUGAUCAGUAACUAUAUGGGUGACCAUUUGGGAAUACCAGGUGCUGUAAG